rnacentral:rRNA from 1 species
UAAGCGACUAAGCGUACACGGUGGAUGCCCUGGCAGUCAGAGGCGAUGAAGGACGUGCUAAUCUGCGAAAAGCGUCGGUAAGGUGAUAUGAACCGUUACAGCCGGCGAUGUCCGAAUGGGGAAACCCAGUGCAAUUCGUUGCACUAUCGUUAACUGAAUACAUAGGUUAACGAGGCGAACCGGGGGAACUGAAACAUCUAAGUACCCCGAGGAAAAGAAAUCAACCGAGAUUCCCCCAGUAGCGGCGAGCGAACGGGGAGCAGCCCAGAGUCUGAAUCAGCUUGUGUGUUAGUGGAACGGUCUGGAAAGUCCGACGGUACAGGGUGAUAGUCCCGUACACCAAAAUGCACAGGUUGUGAACUCGAAGAGUAGGGCGGGACACGUGGUAUCCUGUCUGAAUAUGGGGGGACCAUCCUCCAAGGCUAAAUACUCCUGACUGACCGAUAGUGAACCAGUACCGUGAGGGAAAGGCGAAAAGAACCCCGGCGAGGGGAGUGAAAAAGAACCUGAAACCGUGUACGUACAAGCAGUGGGAGCACCUUCGGGUGUGACUGCGUACCUUUUGUAUAAUGGGUCAGCGACUUAUAUUCUGUAGCAAGGUUAACCGUAUAGGGGAGCCGCAGGGAAACCGAGUCUUAACUGGGCGUUAAGUUGCAGGGUAUAGACCCGAAACCCGGUGAUCUAGCCAUGGGCAGGUUGAAGGUUGGGUAACACUAACUGGAGGACCGAACCGACUAAUGUUGAAAAAUUAGCGGAUGACUUGUGGCUGGGGGUGAAAGGCCAAUCAAACCGGGAGAUAGCUGGUUCUCCCCGAAAGCUAUUUAGGUAGCGCCUCGUGAACUCAUCUUCGGGGGUAGAGCACUGUUUCGGCUAGGGGGUCAUCCCGACUUACCAACCCGAUGCAAACUACGAAUACCGAAGAAUGUUAUCACGGGAGACACACGGCGGGUGCUAACGUCCGUCGUGAAGAGGGAAACAACCCAGACCGCCAGCUAAGGUCCCAAAGUCACAGUUAAGUGGGAAACGAUGUGGGAAGGCACAGACAGCCAGGAUGUUGGCUUAGAAGCAGCCAUCAUUUAAAGAAAGCGUAAUAGCUCACUGGUCGAGUCGGCCUGCGCGGAAGAUGUAACGGGGCUAAACUGUGCACCGAAGCUGCGGCAGCGACACGAUGUGUUGUUGGGUAGGGGAGCGUUCUGUAAGCCUGCGAAGGUGGCCUGUGAGGGUUGCUGGAGGUAUCAGAAGUGCGAAUGCUGACAUAAGUAACGAUAAUGCGGGUGAAAAGCCCGCACGCCGGAAGACCAAGGGUUCCUGUCCAACGUUAAUCGGGGCAGGGUGAGUCGACCCCUAAGGCGAGGCCGAAAGGCGUAGUCGAUGGGAAACAGGUUAAUAUUCCUGUACUUGGUGUUACUGCGAAGGGGGGACGGAGAAGGCUAUGUUAGCCGGGCGACGGUUGUCCCGGUUUAAGCAUGUAGGCGGAGGUUCCAGGUAAAUCCGGUACCUUUUUAACGCUGAGGUGUGAUGACGAGGCACUACGGUGCUGAAGUAACAAAUGCCCUGCUUCCAGGAAAAGCCUCUAAGCAUCAGGUAACAUUAAAUCGUACCCCAAACCGACACAGGUGGUCAGGUAGAGAAUACCAAGGCGCUUGAGAGAACUCGGGUGAAGGAACUAGGCAAAAUGGUGCCGUAACUUCGGGAGAAGGCACGCUGAUAUGUAGGUGAAGCCCCUGCGGGUGGAGCUGAAAUCAGUCGAAGAUACCAGCUGGCUGCAACUGUUUAUUAAAAACACAGCACUGUGCAAACACGAAAGUGGACGUAUACGGUGUGACGCCUGCCCGGUGCCGGAAGGUUAAUUGAUGGGGUUAUCCGUAAGGAGAAGCUCUUGAUCGAAGCCCCGGUAAACGGCGGCCGUAACUAUAACGGUCCUAAGGUAGCGAAAUUCCUUGUCGGGUAAGUUCCGACCUGCACGAAUGGCGUAAUGAUGGCCAGGCUGUCUCCACCCGAGACUCAGUGAAAUUGAACUCGCUGUGAAGAUGCAGUGUACCCGCGGCAAGACGGAAAGACCCCGUGAACCUUUACUAUAGCUUGACACUGAACAUUGAGCCUUGAUGUGUAGGAUAGGUGGGAGGCUUUGAAGCGUGGACGCCAGUCUGCGUGGAGCCAACCUUGAAAUACCACCCUUUAAUGUUUGAUGUUCUAACGUUGGCCCCUUAUCGGGGUUGCGGACAGUGUCUGGUGGGUAGUUUGACUGGGGCGGUCUCCUCCCAAAGAGUAACGGAGGAGCACGAAGGUUAGCUAAUCCUGGUCGGACAUCAGGAGGUUAGUGCAAUGGCAUAAGCUAGCUUGACUGCGAGCGUGACGGCGCGAGCAGGUGCGAAAGCAGGUCAUAGUGAUCCGGUGGUUCUGAAUGGAAGGGCCAUCGCUCAACGGAUAAAAGGUACUCCGGGGAUAACAGGCUGAUACCGCCCAAGAGUUCAUAUCGACGGCGGUGUUUGGCACCUCGAUGUCGGCUCAUCACAUCCUGGGGCUGAAGUAGGUCCCAAGGGUAUGGCUGUUCGCCAUUUAAAGUGGUACGCGAGCUGGGUUUAGAACGUCGUGAGACAGUUCGGUCCCUAUCUGCCGUGGGCGCUGGAGAAUUGAGGGGGGCUGCUCCUAGUACGAGAGGACCGGAGUGGACGCAUCACUGGUGUUCGGGUUGUCAUGCCAAUGGCAUUGCCCGGUAGCUAAAUGCGGAAGAGAUAAGUGCUGAAAGCAUCUAAGCACGAAACUUGCCCCGAGAUGAGUUCUCCCUGAGACUUUAAGUCUCCUGAAGGAACGUUAAAGACGAUGACGUUGAUAGGUCGGGUGUGUAAGCGUAGCGAUACGUUGAGCUAACCGAUACUAAUGAACCGUGAGGCUUAACCU